AUUGGUCCGCUGUCUACAGGUGCUCGUUAUUCUGGCCAGUUUGUCGUGCUCUAUCUUCGACCACCUCUUUGCAGGAAAAUGCCUCAAUUAAUUAGUUUGUCGCUCCGUUAGUCGCCAUGGUCAGAUGAUGCUUCAGGUUUGCACUUCACAUUGAGGAAAACUGGUGUUUAUCUACAUGAGGGACCUGGUUGUAUUACCUACUACAUGCAUCGUUAACUGGGCACCAAAAAACCUAGAUUGUGCAUCUCUGUUUGUUCAUGUGGUGAUUAUCCUAUUGUUUUCGGCAUCAGAUCGAUUGUAAACAGUGGAUGAAUGCAUACCUUUUCAAGCUUAAGCAUUUGGUGUUUGGUGAUGUGGUAUUUUCUCUUUAAAGACGUUCCUACUACUUUCUUUUUUGAUAAAUAGACAAGUUGGAUCCAGUGUAUGUCCAUGUGUGUGCCUUGGUUCAGUACGCAAUGAAAUCUGGGAAAGUGGCUUCUGUUUAACAUUGUCAUGAAAGAUACAUUCACAUGUCUUGAACUUUCUAUCUUGGUUCUAUUUGUAUUGUUAGUUUCAAAAGAUAUAUUCACUUCUUUGCGACUUUUAUCUCUAUAACAUGUCUACUCUUCGUUUAGAUAUAUUUUUUAUUCCAGCUAUGUUGUUGUGAGGGAGCAGGCUUCUUAUGGGGAAUGGUGAUGAUUUCUUGAGCUUUCAUUUUGUUCUCCUUUCUAUCCCAAACAUAGUUUUCGCAGAGUCGAUGUAUGUGCCGGUUUGCCCGGAUAAUCCAUGUAGCGGUUAGUCUGUUUUUAUUCAUAUAAUUACUGGACUCCUAUAAAAAACACGGAGAUGUACUGCGCUAUAUGUUCUCUGAUCCGUUGAGCCCAAACAUGUACAAGUGGAUCUGAUCGUUAGAUUUUAAUUAUAUUUUGGACGUUGUCAUAGCUAGCAAUAUAUAGUGCAGUUUACUUUCUUUGUCCUCUUGUGGCCACUAACUAAAUCUUUUGUGUUUUCUUCUUUUGCUCAGGGCCCUAUGCUCCUAUAGCUUGAAUUAGGGUGGUGCCAGUGAUUCACAAGAUCUUCCAUAUUAUCAUUAGCAAGGUGAAGUCAUUCAAGUAUUGGCCACUACUAUCUGCAUUAGCUUCGUCUCAGAAAAUAACCUUUUCACUUGGAAGGAGGAAGUAGGAGUUCUCAGUAAUGGUUAACUACAAGCUACAGUAGAUGUUCUUUGAUUAACAAAGACAAAUGUCCUACUAUUAUCGAUGUUUCCAAAGCUUCGUUCUCAAUUUGUCUGUUAUCUCAUUAUGUUUAUGAGCAGCUCCAAAAUCUGACACUUAUGCUUGCCAGUAUGAACUUCUUGGCUAUAUUUUAUAGAACUUAUGUCUUGACGCUUUGUACUGAACUUGAUGCAGUCCAAUUCAAGUCAGUUGUCCUGAGCAAGCACUAUGUCUUGCUUUUGGUA